rnacentral:tRNA from 1 species
AGGGUAAUAGCUCAGUGGUAGAGUGCAUGCUUAGCAUGCACAAAGUCCUGAGUUCAGUCCUCAGUACCUCCA